rnacentral:rRNA from 1 species
AUUAAACGCUGGCGGCAUGCCUUACACAUGCAAGUCGAACGGCAGCACGGGGGCAACCCUGGUGGCGAGUGGCGGACGGGUGAGUAAAGCAUCGGAACGUAUCCUGGAGUGGGGGAUAACGUAGCGAAAGUUACGCUAAUACCGCAUAUUCUGUGAGCAGGAAAGCAGGGGAUCGCAAGACCUUGCGCUCUGGGAGCGGCCGAUGUCGGAUUAGCUAGUUGGUGGGUAAAGGCCUACCAAGGCGACGAUCCGUAGCGGGUCUGAGAGGAUGAUCUGCCACACUGGGACUGAGACACGGCCCAGACUCCUACGGGAGGCAGCAGUGGGGAAUUUUGGACAAUGGGCGCAAGCCUGAUCCAGCCAUGCCGCGUGAGUGAAGAAGGCCUC